CCAUUAUCAUUAUGCACCAUGCUUCCCCAAUCAAUAUGCCAACAUGCUUCACCAAUAUUCUUCCCUCUACCACUAUGCCAUCCUUCAAACAUUCUUCCCCUAUCAAUAUGCCAUCAUACUUUACUAACAUUCAACACAUAUGCACCUGGUACCUAGUUUCGACCACAUGAAUUCAGUAUUUCCCCUUUUGGCAUCAUUGAAAAGUGAUAAUAGUAAAACAAGAGUAAAAUAAGCACAAAUUAGUUAACUCAUGGACACAAGGGCAACACUAACAUGAAGAACAACUUUAAAGUAAGAAGAGAUAGAUGCAACACACAAAUAAAGGAUUCAUUCAUUUUUUAAAGAGACUAAUACCAUUACAGCAUACCAAAAUAAACAUAAAAAUUCUAGUUAAUCAAAAGCCACUUUAGAAACAAGAAUUGGAAACUGACACAGAGAUUAUAAAGGGACAAAGUCGAUAGGACUUAGGUAGUGGGAGGCUUAGGGAAAAAUGAUUUAAGAAAAAACUAGGAUAUAUAACUCUCUCCAACAUAAGCAUUCAACAUUUACUUGGUGAGGUCUUUAAAUUCUGCAUUCAGCUCUUAAACCUCCUUAUUGAUGUAAUACCCCGAGAAUCCCAAUCGAUAGUAGAACCAUGAUUCAAGAUAAUGAGAAAUAAAAUUUAGUGACUUGGUAGUUUUAUGAUUAAUUUGUAUGUAUAUUAAGGUCUCAAUUACGUCCUAGCUAUUAGACAAAUCAAAACAUCCCUUACCGAUUGAAUUCUUGAGAAGGAUAUUGCCAUUGUCAACUUCAAACGAGCAUAUCUUACAUUCUACAAAUAUUUUUUGAGAUAGUGACUCACCAACAGAUAUAUAAUUGAAUUAUAUUUCUAAUGAUAGAAAUUUUUUCCAAAUCCGAUAUCAGAGUAAGAAGUUAUAGCCAUUUUACAGUAAGUUGUCCGAACUGCCAAAGUGCGACGAGAAGGCCAAUGGACCAUCGUGCCAGCGACUAACUGUCGCCCAAACCAUUACAACUGAGGUAGUAAUCCUUUUUUCUAGCCAUAAAGUGACGGUUUGAGGGACGUUUAGUCCCCAGGGUGAUGGUUCAUCCCCCAAACCGUCCCGCACCUCCGUUUAGGGAUUUAAAGUCAUUUUUAAAGGGAUUUUUGGGUCUUUUUCCACCCUUUUUAACACCUAAUUACUCAAAUCAAAGAACAUAACACCAUAUUCAUCCAUAACAUCAAAAUUAGGGUUUAUUUCAAUAUCAAUCCCCAAGAACAAGAUUCAUACCCUUCUUCAAGGAAACUCAAGAAUCAAAACGUCACCAUUCAAGAACCUUCAAGAAAAGUUAAUCUCCUUCAAGAUUCAAACUUUUGAGGUAUGUGAGAUGUUCAUCCAUGGGUCCUUUUCACCCAUGGAGUCCAAAAACCCAAUUUCAAAUUCAAGGUUAUGAUUUUUACAUGAUUAUUAUGAUCUUAAUCAUGAAUUCCCAUGAACUUUGAUUCUAUACCAUGUUUACACGUAUUUCUUAUUGUUAUUAAAUCCCAUAUGUUUGAAUGGUGUUAUUUGUUGAUUUAAGACAUAAUUAGUGACCUUAUUGUUGAAAUCAUGCUAUUACUACAAGCUUUAAAACUAAUCUCAUGCUUGUCUUUAACCAUGCAUUGCAAGUGCUUGAUAAAAUGCCAACAAACACGAGUUUUGAAUAAAUGCUUUCAUAUCAUGUCCUCAAAGUUUUAGUAUGAUCUUUCUAUUAUUGUUAUCGAGUCCUAGGGGUUUGAAUACCCAAAAUUUAGCUGCUUACCUAGUUUUUAGUAUUGAUGUGUGACCUAAUGCUUACACAUUUGAGGCUUUUGACUAAAAAUAAUUACAAAGUCUUAAUCAACUUUUGUCGUUUUUGAUUGUUUUAUCUUUGAUUUUGCAGUAGAAUCUAUGAUGCUAGAGAACCAACAAGGAUGGAAGCCAAAGAGUGAAAUCUGAAGUAAAAAGAAAAAAAGUAGGACUGACGACAUUCCUGAUAAAUCGUCACCCCUGUGAUAAGUUAUCAGCUUCAUCAUCAGCCUUAGAUAGAGAAUGGACCUCAGCUGAAAUUUGUGAUGAUAUUUUAUGAUAAGCCAUUAAGGAGUUGAUAGGUCAUCAAAAUUGUCGUCAGUCUAAGGAAGAACAUGGGAGCUGAGGUAGACAAAUGACGACAUUUGUGAUAAGUCGUCAAAGAUCUGAUAGGACAUCACAGUUCUUCGUCAGCUUAAGGCAACGAAUGUCGAAAUCAAAGAGGAGCUGACGACAUUUGUGAUAAGUCGUCAUCUUCUUAAUAAGGCAUCACAAAUGGCGUCACCUAUCCGAGAAAUUGUUGCACUCUAUGAUUUUGUUUCCAUGAUUAGGGUGAACUAUUUAAAGCAUUGUUUAGGGUUUUCUAAGGAGUGCUGAACAUCUUUUGGGAGACACAUAUUUUUUGUUACUUUUCUCUCUAGUUUCUUGGCUUGAAAACAAUUAACUUUGAAGAGAUUUCCAUCAAUACAUUGGGGAUUCCUAUUGUGAUCUAAUCUGAGAAUCACUAGUUAUUAUUCAUCUUGUGGUAAGUUUAUCUUUCAAAUUAUGAAUUCAUCUAGUUGUUCCAAUCAUUACAUCAUGAGUGGCUAAACCCCUCUAACCCGAAUUAUGGGAUCUAUGGGUUAUGUUUUGAUAGGAUGCUAAGUGUUUAAGAUUCAAAAGAUAAUAGGAAUCCUUGAUAAUUCUAAGAUUUUAAUCAUUGUCUAUUGGUUGCAAACAAUAGAUAUCUCCUGCUUUGAUUUUUUUGAGAUAAGAAAUCAAAUACAGUAGGAAGUGAAUUAUUGAUAGGGAAUUGGAAGCACUAAAAACUUUCAUUUAAUAAUUGACGUUGUAACAAGGUUGAUUAACCUGAGGUAAAUUCCGGUCAGUGAAUAUAAAUUUCCUAAGUCCUAGAGGAUUAGGUAAUUAAAUGCUUAAGUAGGUCGAGAGUUAUUUAGGCAUAACUUUGAUAAAGAUAAUCCAUUGUCCUAUUGACUGUGAGAAUCUUGAAUCACUAAUAGCAUCUGUCAAGUACCAAAACCCAUAGUGAACAUAAUUCUGGUUUUCCAUAAAAUCUUGAUUACAAACACUGAAGCUAAAGUGACUAAUAAUUAUUUGUUAAACUCAAAACCCCCCAUUUCGGGAAACAUCCAACUAUCCGUUGAUUAACUCGCAAAUGACUUAAAUUCACACCAUAUUCCUUGUGGGAUUUGACCCCAACCUAGAUGGGUUAUAUAUUGACAACGAUCGCUAACAUUCUUAUUAGAGAGGUGUAGUUUGAGUGUUAUCAAGUAUCUACAGAAUGGUUUUAGAAUAGUUAGGAGUAUUCUUAGUUCGAUUAUUUAUUACAUCAGUUAAACAUAGUUCGAUCUAAUAGUCAGUGUCAUUCAGUUAGAAGUAACACUUAGCACUGAGUGAGCGUAGGGAUGGUGUCUCCCCCAUCAGUUAGGCAUAAGGUACUAGUAGCAGUCCCUAGGUUCCAUACCUACGGUGACACCGUAGAUUUUGAGAGGUCCCCCAUCAGUUAAGCAUGACACCCUCGUCCUUCAGGUUUUUAGAUUAGUGGAUCCACACAUCCAGUGUUAGUAUCCAUGGCACGAUGCUGAUACCUUUCUAACUGGGGUUACAGGUUUAACCCUGAUAGUAUAUCAGGCAUAUCGGUUAUAGCUAGCUCCCACAGUUUCAGUCCAAUAUUCAGCUCAGUAAUUUAGUUUUGGUUUUCCUUGACCAUAGCAUACAGAUAUUAGUUACUCAUUUAUCAGUACUCACUAUUUUAUUUUUCAGCCUAUAUUCAGAAUAUGUUUUAUGCUUGGUCAUGCAUCCAUCAGUAUUUAUAGAUUUCACACAUAAUCAGCAUUUAUAGAUUUUAUGCAUUCUAUUUAGUACCCUUGCAAUUCAUUCAGUCAAUUAUUACUUAUGCAUAUAAAACCAUCCAUAUUAGCCUAACCCGAUUUAUCAUACCAGAACAUUCAAAGUACUGAUUGCAUACUCAUUUCUUGUGCUAUAAUAUCUCAUAUCAUAGGUUCGGAUGCUCGGGUUCCUGACCGUACUUAGACAGAUCAGCCUAUCAAUAGCAGUCAACAGUGGUGAGUCCUCAUCCUUCGAGGAUGAGUUAUUUUAUAUUUAGUAUGUUAGUAGUUCAAUUACUCAGUUAGUCAGAGUUAGUUAGGGGCUUGUCCCAUCAACUCCACAGUCAGUCCGUUUAGAGGCAUUCAAACUAGUAUAGAUAGUUGGUUAGUUUUUUUCAGUUGUUAUUGUCAGAUGUUUAUCAGUAUUACCAUUUUGUUCUCAGACGUUUGAAACUAUGAUUUAGUAUUAAUUUUAGUUGCUCAAACCUUAUGGUUUUUCAUUUAUUCUUCCACAUAUGUUAUUAUUUUUGUCAGUGCUCACAACAGGUACCAGCUCAGGGGUUAGCUUGUGGUCAUUUAUGAUUGCAAGCACCGUGUGGUGCCCAGGGUGUACUCUCAGGGCAUUACAAACUUGGUAUCAGAGCUUAAGGUUUUAAAGUGUCCGAGGGAUUCUAAAAGUUGCAUUGAGUAGAGUCUUCUGCAUGGGCAUGAAUCACGCCACACUUACGGAUAGGAGGCUAUAAGACGUUUUAGAAAAGUUUACCUUUUUCAGUGUUCAUAACAUGCUAAUAAUCAUGAGCUUAAGUUGAAAUCUCUAUAUAAUCCAAUAUUUUUUCUAUUUACAGUGAAAAUACCUCUCAAAAAGACUAAUGGAAGGAGAAACAGAAAUCAUUUAGCACCUCCACCCAUUCAGGAAGAUCCCCUGAAUGAGCAUAUUUCAUAUGCCGAGUUUAGAGCUUCAUUUACUACUCUAACCAACUCUAUAGCAGCUCAAAAUAUUCGUCUAGCUGCUGUCCCAGCCAACCUUGUGGCUAAUACUACUGCAUCUAGGAUUUGGGACUUCACCCGAAUGAAUCCUCCAUUCUUUUUAGGAUCCAAGUUUGAAGAGGAUCCACAGGAAUUCUUUGACAUGGUUUAGAAGGUAAUAGAUAUUAUGGGAGUGACUUCUAGUUAGAGUGUUGAAUUGGCUGCCUACCAGCUGCAGAAUGUAGCUCAUACGUGGUUUAAGCAAUGGAGAAGGGAUAGAGGCAUAGAUGCAGGGCCUAUAAAGUGGAGGAGUUAGCUACAGCCUUCUUAGAUAGAUUUUUCCCUUUAGAGAUGAGAGAAUCUAACGUAAUAGAGUUUAUUAAUUUAAAGUAGGGAAACAUGAGUGUGAAAGAGUAUUCCCUUAAGUUUACUCAGCUAAACGGGUAUGCUACUCAUGUGGUGGCUGAUAAUAGGUCUAGGAUAAGCAAGUUCAUGUCUGUUGUAUCUAAUAGCAUGGUCAAGAAGUGUAGGAUCGUAAUAUUGAUCAAAGAGAUGGACUUAUCUAGGUUAGUGGUGCAUGCUCAACAGAUUGAAAAGGGGAAGGCUAAGAAGAGAGAGAGAGAGAGGAUAAGAAGGCUAGAAUAGGUAGCUUUAAUUUUACUCAGCUGAGGUUAAAAGGUGGUAAUCAUCCUUAGUUCCACCAGAAAUCUUCAGUUCCAGCUCCAUUCUCAGUUAGUGCACCUAUGCCAAAUUUCAAAAAUGACAACCAAGAUAGGGCACCAGGCUCUAAGUCCCAAGGCAGUGUAAGCAAUAUCUGCAUUAAUCCUCUCUGCCAGAAGUGUGGAAGAAAUUAUCAAAGUGUGUCCAGGGCUGGAAGCAAUGUGUGUUUUAGAUGUGGAAAGUCGGGCCACAAGUUGAGGAAAUAUCCGACAGGUAUGUGGAAAGGUAGGAAUGAUCAUCAACAGGGUCAGUCUAACUCUUCAGCAGCAUCUACAAGUCGUUCAACUCAUCAGGGCACCACUUCAAGUGCCACUACUGGGCAGCGCCCAAAUAGACUUUAUGCACUUCAGUCCCGACAAGAUCAGGAAAGUUCUCCUAAUGUGGUCACUAGUACGUUACAGGCCUUUCAUUUACAUAUAUAGGCUUUAUUAGAUCCUAAAGAUUCUCUUUCUUUUGUAACCCCUUAUAUAGCCAUCACCUUUAGAGUUAGUCCCAAAAUCUUAGUAGAGCCUUUCUCGGUGUCUACUCUUGUGGAUAAGUCUACCAUAGCCCAGUGGGUAUACAGGAACUGGCCGAUUACAGUGUCUCAGAAAGUUACUUUAGUAAACCUUGUAGAGUUAGAGAUGAUGGAUUUUGAUGUCAUUCUUAACAUGGAUUGGCUCCAUUAAUGCUAUGCUUUAGUUGAUUGUAGAAACAGAGUUGUCCAUUUUUAGUUUCCAAAUAAACCAGUCCUUGAAUGGAGAGGUAGCACUGCAGCACUUAGGGGUCAGCUUGUUUCAUACCUUCGAGCAAGAAAAAUGAUAUCUAAGGGGUGUAUUUAUCAUUUUGUUCAAGUCAAAGACUCUAAUUUAGAUACUUCUAACCUUGAGUCAAUUUUUGUAGUAAGGGAAUUUCCAGAUGUGUUUCCUGAAGAUCUUCUCAGAGUUUCUCCUAAAAGGAAAAUUGACUUUGGAAUAGACUUUCUUCCAGAUAUCCAGCCUAUCUCUAUUUUGCCAUAUAGAAUGGCUCUAGCCAAACUCAAAGAGUUGAAAGAACAAUUAAAAGACCUCUUUGAUAAGGGAUUCAUUAGGCCCAGCAUUUCCCCGUGGGGCGCACCAGUUCUUUUCGUGCAUAAGAAAGAUGGUUCCCUUAGGAUGUGUAUUGAUUACUAUCAGUUGAAUAAAGUCACCAUCAAGAAAAAAUAUCCACUCCCCAAAAUUGAUGACUUGUUCGACUAACUUUAGGGUGCCAGUUAUUUCUCCAAGAUAGACCUCAGAUCUAGCUAUCAUCAGCUUAGAGUUCGGGAAUGUGACAUUCUGAAAAUAUCUUUCAAAACUCAGUAUGGUCACUUUGAGUUUCUAGUCAUGUCCUUUGGUCUCACAAAUGCCCCAGCAGCCUUUAUGGACUUGAUGAACCGAGUGUUCAAGCAUACUUGGACAUGUUCAUCAUAGUCUUUAUUAAUGAUAUUCUUGUCUACUCUCACAAUGAAAAUGAUCAUACAGACCACCUCAAAACUCUAUUGUAGACUCUUAAAGCUCAUCAGUUGUUUACCAAAUUCAGUAAGUGUGAGUUUUGGCUAAGGUCAGUAGCUUUUCUUGGCCAUAUUAUUUUCGAUGAUGGAAUUAGAAUUAACCCUAAAAAGACUAAAUCUGUUAGAAACUAGCCCAGACCCAUCUCACCAUCAAAUAUCAGGAGUUUCUUAAGUCUAGUCAGAUAUUACCGAUGUUUUAUUGAAGGCUUUUCAUCUAUUCCAUACCCCAUGUCUAGAUUAACUCAAAAUAAAGUUAAGUUUCAGUGUCAGAUUCUUGUGAGAAGAGUUUUCAAGAGUUGAAGACUCGACUCACCACAGCCCCAGUUUUGGCCUUGUUGGAUGGUUUGGAUGAGUUUGUUGUGUAUUGUAAUGCUUCUAGAGUUGGAUUGGGUUAUGUUUUGAUACAGAGAGGAAAUUUUAUAGCUUAUGCUUCUAGGCAGCUUAAACCUCAUGAAAAGAAUUACCCCACCCAUGAUCUUGAGUUAGCAGCUAUUGCGUUUGCCUUAAAGAUUUGAAAACACUAUUUGUGUGGGGUACAUAUUGAUGUGUUCAUAGAUCACAAAAUCUUGCAGUAUGUAUUUUUGCUGAAGGAUUUGAAUUUAUGUCAAAGGAGAUGGUUAGAAUUAUUAAAAGAUUAUGAUAUGAGUGUUUUGUACCACCCGGGUAAGGCCAAUAUAGUGGUAGAUGCCCUAAGUAGAUUGUCUAUGGGUAUUGUUGCUCAUAUUGAGGAUGACAAAAAGAAGUUAGUUAGGAAAUUUCAUCAGCUUGCCAGAUUAGGUGUUCAUUUGGUUGAUUUAGCUGAGGGUAGUGUAUGGGUUCAAAAUAGUUCGAAAUCCUCUUUAGUUGCUGAAGUGAAAGAAAAACAAUAUAGGGAUCCAAGCCUGGUUAAGUUAAAGGAGUCAGUAGGAGAUUAGAAAGUAGAGGUUUUCUAUCAAGGGGGAGAUGGUAUAUUGCAUUGUUACGGUAGACUGUGUGUGCUAUGGGUAGAUGAUUUGAGACAUCGAAUUCUUGCAGAAGCAUAUAGUUCCCAUAACUCUAUUUAUCCAGGGGCUAUGAAGAUGUACCGCGAUCUGGGGGAAAUCUAUUGGUAGAGUGGUAUGAAGAGGGAUAUUGCAGAGUUUGUGAUAAAGUUCUCCACUUGUCAAUAGGUUAAGAUUGAACAUCAAAAGCCAAGUGGGUCUAUGCAAGAGUUCAGUAUUCCCACUUGGAAGUAGGAGAAAGUGCACAUGGAUUUUGUGACAGGUUUGCCUCGUAUCCAUCGUCAGGAUGAUUCAAUUUGGGUCAUUGUGGAUAGAAUGACCAAAUUAGCCCAUUUCUUAUCAGUCCAUACUUCUUACUGUAUUAGGGAGUUGGUUAGCUUGUACGAUGUUCCGUUAUCUAUCAUCUCAAUCAGAGGUACUCAGUUUACCUCUCACUUUUGGAAAUCUUUCCAGAAGGGUCUUGGUACCCAAUUUCAACUCAGUACAGCCUUUCACCCUCAGACAGAAGUCCAAGCAUAGAGGACCGUUCAAAUCUUUGAGGAUAUGUUGAGAGCGUGUGUAGUUAAUUUUAAGGGUAGUUGGGAUGAUCACUUACCUUUGAUUAAGUUCGCAUAUAAUAACAGCUAUUAUUCCAGUAUUUAGAUGGCUUAAUUUGAGGCUCUAUAUAGAAGGAUAUGUAGAUCUCCAGUUGGUUGGUUUGAGGUAGGUGAGAUAGCUUUGCAAGGGCCUGACUUGGUGUUCGAUGCUUUAGAAAAAGUUCAAUUGAUCAAGGAGAGGAUUAGGACAGUCCAAAGAUGACAGAAAUCAUACACGGAUGUGAGGAGAAAGGAUCUUGAGUUUGAGAUUGGUGAUUUUGUAUAUCUAGUGAUCUCUCUUAUGAAAGGGGUAAAGAAGUUUGGUAAGAAGGGGAAGCUUAGUCCCUGAUAUGUUGACCCUUACAGAAUUUUAAGCCAUUUCGGAAAGGUGGCUUAUGAUCUUGAGUUGCCUGCAGACUUAACAUCAGUGCACCCAGUGUUCCAUAUCUCAUUAUUGAAGAAGUUUAUUUGUGAUCCAUCUAUAGUUGUCCCUUUAGAAACUAUAGAUGAUCAGAAUAUCCAUUCUUAUGAAGAAGUUCCAUUCGAGAUCCUUGAUCGCCAGAUUUGUAGACUAAGGAAUAAAGAAGUUCCCUUGGUCAAGGUUCUUUGGUGGAACCAGUCUAUUGAGGGAGCCACUUGGGAAGCAGAAGUAGAAAUGUGUACCAAGUACUCUCAUCUCUUCUCCACGAACGUACACUCAGCUUAAGGAAAUAAUUUUCUCUAGCUUUUAUCUUUUCCAUACUCAGUUCUCGCUGCAUACUGUUCUAAUGUCAUCAUACAUUCACGAAACCAGUUCAGUCAUGUGUCAUAAUUCACGCUCAUCCAUGUAAUCAUAUUUCAUUAUGUAUAUUCAGCAUGAAACCUUAAUUCCUCAGUGUUCUCAGCUUAACCAACCACAUUUGAGGAUGAAUGUUCCCAAGGAAGAGAUAUUGUAAUACCCCAAGAAUCCCAACCGAUAGUAGAACCAUGCUUCAAGCUCAUGAGAAAUAAAUUUUAGUGAUUUUUUAGUUUUAUGAUUGAGUUUUAUAUUUAUUAAGGUCUUAAGUACGUCCUAGCUAUUAGACGAAUCAAAACAUCCCUUACCGAUUGAAUUCUUGAGAAGGAUAUUGUCAUAGUCAACUUCAAACGAGUAUAUCUUCCAUUCUACAAAGAUUUUUUGAGCUCAUGACCCACCAACAAAUAGAUAAUUGAAUUAUAUUCCCAACUAUAUCAAUUUCUCCCAAUCCGAUAUUGGGGUAAAAAGUUAUGGCCAUUUUACAGCGAGUUAUCCGAACUGCCAAAGUGCAAUGUGAAGCCCGACGGGCGCCAGCGACGAACCGUCGCCCAAACCAUUGCAACUAAGGCAGUAAGCCCAUUUUAUGGCCAUAAACUAAUGGUUUGAGGGAUGGUCAGUCCCCAGGGUGAUGGUUCGCCACCCAAACCGUCCUGCACCUCCAUUUUUAAAGGGAUUUUUGGGUCUUUUUCCACCCUUUUUAACACCUAAUUACAUCAAAUCAAAGCACAUAACUCCAUAUUCAUCUAUAACAUCAAAAUUAGGGUUUCUUUAAAGAUCAAUCCCCAAGAACAAGAUUCACACCCUUCUUCAAGAAAACUCAAGAAUUAAAACGUCAUCAUUCAAGAACCUUCAAGAAAAGUUAAUCUCCUUUAAGAUUCAAGCUUUUGAGGUAUGUUAGAUGUUCAUCCAUGGGUCCUUUUCACCCAUGGAGUCCAAGAACCCAAUUUCAAAUUCAAGGUUAUGAUUUUUACAUGAUUAUUAUGAUCUUAACCAUGAAUUCCCAUGAACUUCGAUUAUAUACCAUGUUUACACAUAUUUCUUAAUGUUAUUAAACCCCAUAUGUUUGAACGGUGUUGUUUGUUAAUUUAAGACAUAAUUGGUGACCUUAUUAUUGAAAUCAUACUAUUACUACAAGCUUUAAAAUGACUCCCAUUCUUUUCUUCAACCAUGCAUUGCAAGUGCUUGAUGAAAUGCCAACAAACAUAAGUUUUGAAUAAAUGCUUGAAUAUCAUGUCCUCACAGUUUUAGUAUGAUCUUCCUACUAUUGUUAUUGAGCCCUGGGGGUUUGAAUACCCAUUUAUCAGUACUCAAUAUAUUAGUUUUUAGACUUUAUUCAGAAUAUGUUUUAUGUUUGGUCAUGCAUCCAUCAGUUUCUACAAAUUUCACGCAUUCUUAGCAUUUACAGAUUUCAUGCAUUCUAUUCAGUACCUCUUGCUAUUCAUUCAGUCAAUUAUUACUUAUGCACUUGAAAUCAUGCAUAUUAGUCUAACCCUAUUUAGCAUACCAAUACAUUUAAAGUACUAAUCGUAUGCUUAUUUUUUGCACUAUGAUGUCUCAUAUCAUAGGUUUGGACGCUUAGGUUCCUGAUCGUACUUAGAUAGAUCAACCUAUCAGCAGCAGUCAAUAGUGAUGAGUCCUCAUCCUUUGAGGAUGAGUUAUCUUAUAUUUAGUAUGUUAGUAGUUCAGUUAUCCAGUCAGUCAGAGUUAGUUGGGGGCUUGUCCCAUCAACUCCACAGUCAGUCAGUUUAGAGGCUUUCAGACUAGUACAGACAUUUGGUUAGUUUUUUAGUUGUUAUUGUCAGUUGUUUAUUAGUAUUACCAUCUUGUUCUUAGACGUUUGAAACUAUGAUUCAAUAUUAAUUUCAGUUGCUAAAACCUUAUGGCUUUUCAGUUAUUCUUUCACAUAUGCUAUUAUUUUAUUCAUUCUCACAGCAGGUACCAGUACAGGGUUAGCUUAUGGUCACUUAUAACUGCGAGCACCGUGUGGCACCCAGGGUGUACUCUCGGGGUGUUACAAUUAAGUUCUGCAACCUUGGUCUAGAGCUUUGCAUUUUCUGUUGUAUGUUCCUCGGAAGAACCUGGUCCCUUUGAGGAUAACUUCUGAUUCUGAAACUUUAAGUGCACUAUUGCAGCAUGCUUAGUGGCUAACUUAAUCCUCAUCUCCUCCAUUUCCUUACUUUAAUUUUCCUUAGCUGCCAGUAGCUCUGACACUUGGGACACAGUUCCCAUUUUUCCUUCUAUGCAUUUAUUUUCCACCAAUAUUGUCAAACUACACUUUUGUUUGACUGUUCCAGGAGUCCAUUUAGUCCCAACCACUCCAAAGUGAUAAAACACCUUGUUCAAGAGGUACCCAUAAGGCAUUAUAUGUCUUUAUUCCUUCUCAUGGAUUACCUUAUUCAUGUGCUCUAUCACAAGAGCAGCCAAACUUAUCAGCUCAAAUUUGCUCAGACACUCUAUCAAAAAUAGAUACACAGCAGAGGCUAUAGUCCUCUUCUCUGACCUUGGCAGAAUAACCUUGUUGAAAAAUUCAAUCACUAGCUAAAACUCACUUAUGAAAAAACGUCUUUAUCACCCUAGAUAUUGAUGCCCCUCCUACAUUUGAGGCAUUAAUCAUUAACUCAAACGAGGGACAUUGUUUCACAACAGUCCUCACACCCAUAGGCACAUCCAGAAUUUUUCCCAAUGCCUCUUCAUCCAGUUUUAUUUCCUUUCCUUGCACCUGGGAAGUCAGGUUUAACCCAACAUCUAAUAAGUUUAUAGUAUAAUAGAAUUCUCUUGCUUUAUUUUCAAAAACCAUGGGACAUAGUUCCUUCAGGAGGUGUAACCAUCCUUGGUGCCUUAAUACUCCACCAACUCUACCAUUCUAGGUUUCUCAUAAAUCCUGGGAUUAAACACUACUAGAAAAUACUUUCUGAGUUUUCAAAAUUUCAUUCCUUUACUCUCUAGAACCUUUCUUCUUUUUUUCCUCUUUUCUCCUUCUUUUGAAAUCAGUGCUUGAUUCUUUUUCAAUAGUUUUUCUCUUUUUGCGACCAAGUCCAUUAGAGACUUUCUUCUUCUUAACAACAAUGUGUUUCUAUUUCAUUCCUACAGGGCUACCAGACUUUGAACGAGGGGACCUAGUCCUUCCUGCAACAUGAAUUUCUUUUCUUUAUUUCUCAAUUGCAACAGAAACAUCAGGAUCAUUGUCCUUACCCUCUUUAAUCUCUACAACUUCAAUAUUCUCUUCCUCUACUAUAGUAGUUUUCUUCAGUCUUCUUCUCUUGGUGGUAGAAGACUUGUUAGCCUUCAUUGCAUCCACUAACAACUUUUUUUCAGAUGCCCUAGUAUAAUAUGAUCUAGAAACCUUUAAACCAGUGUCAACCACUUUUUUCUUACCUUUGCUUCCCUUUUAUUUCUGCACAUACCACCUCAGAGGUAGUUUAUCCUCAUCUGCCUUAUCCUCCUCAUUUAGAGGUAACAUAAAUUCUCCAUCUGUUGUAAUAUAAAACUUUUCACCUACUGUUUUCUAUUCAACACCAAAGGAUCUCUGCUUAGGAUCAUUUUCAAGCAAAAGUAAGUUUUCAGCUACCCAAUUCAUACUACUAGAAAGAUCAGACCUCUUUACUACUAUUUUUUCAUCACAGAGUUGGGCAAAAAUAAGGUUUGACUCUGAGGGAGUAGGAGAACUAGGUACUUGUAGGGUUUUUGAGAGUUCUAUUUUUUCUGGUUCUUUAGAAGAAAUAGAUAUUUGAGAGUCUUCAGGUAAUUUUGAUACUUUUGAGAAAGGAGGAACUUUGGAUUGAGGAAUUUCUUAUUCAAUUGGUGAACCAAAACCUUGAUUUAGAUCCUCUACCAUGGUUGACUUAACAUAAAUUUUGAUAGUUGAGGAAUUUUCAAUGGAGACAGACUCAUUUAGGGGUUCUGGAAUUUCUGAAGAGGAUUCAGUGGGUAGAGUUAACACAAGUUCUUUUUAAGGACUUAAGGAUAUGUCUUCUAUGGUUUUGGGUGUUAAAGGAUCAGAAUGUUUGAUUUUGGGUUUUUUAGACUAACUAUCUAGGGUUUUAUCAAAUUCUGAAUCUCUAAUAAGACAUGAGGAGGUGGGAAUAUCUACCAUUUAGAGUUUUCAUAAGGAAGAGAAUAAACACACUUUGUUUUUUAGAGGUUGAAUGAGUGAGGAAGUUGAUUAGUGAGUUAAUUUUGGAAGAGAAUAAAAAGGAAUGAAUUUGGUUUUGACUUUAAGUGAAGUGACCAUUGUCAUUAAAAGGUGCCUUUUUGAAUAAAAUGGCAUGCCCGAUUCUAAUAGGUGUGACUCUUCACCUUGCUAAGGAAUUGACAGUUUUUUACAAAGAAGAAAAGGCACAUGGAUUUUGAGAUAGAAUCUUAUAAUUUUUAAAGCACACUAUUUUGGUACUAACCUCAGAGAUGGGACCAGGUCCCUCUCUUUCUUAAAAAAAUCCUCAAAUUUGUGCAAGUCACAUAUAUCCUCUUGUAAAGAUGUUUCCAUGAGUGUAUACCUGUAAAGGUAUGGUACUGAGUUAGACCAAUAUGUACCUACCUGACCAAGGAUACCUAUCUCCUGAUCAUUGCCAAUUUUAGGGAGAAAAACUGAUUCAUCUAGUAGAUUAGGUUAUUUUGAUCAACCCCAGCCUCUACCUGUUCUUCAUAUUUUUGGCUCAAUUUUGGACAAGAAUGUUGAAAAUUCCAUGACACUUGUGUCUUGAGCUCUUCUUUGGACUCUAGAUUCAAAAGGUGUAGUCAGAUUCUCAAGUGGAUGAGAAAAUUUAUGCCUCCAGUUUGACAUUUUGAGAUGAGUUCCACUAGGACCAGGGCCCUAAAAAUUUUGCCUAGACCAUUUUUGUUGUUCUUCUACUGGCGCUGGGUUCUGUGACUGUUCUCUUGGAUCACCAUCACUUUCAUCAUUCUUAUCUACAGCAUUUAGUCCAUGACCAUUAUCUUCAGCAAUGUUUUCCCUUUGAACAGGAAUGAGUUCUUCUAUUUCUGAAUCUUCACCAUCACCUGGAUUCAUUAGCUUUCCUGAAUCAUCAAAGACAACAUGCAUACUUUAUUCAACACAUAGAGUUAUUUUGUUGAAAACUAUGUAUGCUUUUCUUGUUGAAGAAUAUCCCACAAAUACUAUUUCAUCACUUUUAAAGCCAAACAUUUCAAGAUCAUUGUUCCCAUAUUUAGAACAAAGCAUUUUCACCCAAAAGGUCUAAACUAGUCAAGAUUAUCCUUUCUAUUGAACAAAAUCUCAUAAGGGGACUUGUUCAAGAGAGAUCUAAUCAAGCACCUAUUUGUCACGUAGCAAGUAGUAUUUACAGCUUUGGCCCAAAAGUUCUUCUGAAUUCCACACUUAAUCGGCAUAGUCAUAACAUAACAAUCUCUAUUAGGGUUCUGUUCUUUCUUUCAACAACUCCAUUUUACCGAGGAGUCCUUGGGGUAUACAAGUUAUGACUGAUUUCAUUUUAGCACAGAAUCCUAUUAACUUUGGAUUUCUUAACUUAGUUCCAUGAUCAUAUCUGAAUUCAGCAAUCUUGCAAUUCAGUUUCAUUUGAAUUUGCUUGGCAAAAGUAAUAAGAACUUCAUAGGUUUCAUCCUUGGUUCUCAAGAACAUUGUCCAAGUGAACCUGGGGUAGUCAUCUACAAUUACAAACACAUACUUCUUUCCUUCUCUACUUUGGACUUUAACAGGUCCACAUAGAUCCAUAUGCAGCAUCUCAAGGGGUUGAGAAGUACUCACUUGCUUCUUCAUCUUAAAGGAAGACCUAGUUUGUUUUCCCUUUACACAAGCAUUACAAACCUUGUUGUUUGGAAAUUUUAACUUUGGUAUGCCACGGACCAGGUCCUUUGAAAUCAACUUUUUUAGCAAAGAAGAACUUACUUGUCCCAGCCUUCGGUGCCAUAAAUCAACAUCUUCACUUUGAACACUUCAAAAAAUUAAUUCCCCAUUAGCCACAAACUCCAACUCAACCAUAUACAUAUUUUUAUCCUCUUGGAUUUGAGAAUAACUCUCCCAGACUUCAAUCUUACAUAAUAAAUCCAUUAGCUGAGAAUUUGACCUCAUUACCUUUGUCACAAAUUUGAAAAACACUUAGAAAAUUGUACUUGAGGCUAUUCAUAUAGUACACAUCUUCUAUUGCAUGAUCAAAUAAUUUUCCAAUCUUUCCCACACCAUGAAUAUAGCUUUUUUUACUAUUUCCAAAAAAAAGACACCUCUACCUUGAAGUGUCUUGAGAGAAAGAAAGGAAUCAGUACUCCCUGUCAUAUGAUUUGAACAUCUACUAUCCAUGAGCCAGUUCUUAUUGCAUUCCCCUCCUCCCACCUACAAACAUAGUCAUUCAUUAGAUUUGGGAACUCCCUUGAGUUUGAAUUCCCAAUAGGAAGACAAAGGUGUGAUCAAAUAUUUCUUGGACCAUUUAGGUAGAGAGUUCUUCUUCAUAUUUUUCAAGGGCAUGAAACCCUUAGGAUAAUAAUUCUCCUGCUGGAUGUAUUUAGUACUGGUCAUUUUAGCUCUAAGCCAAUACUGAUAGUUUUCUUUCAAGUGUCCAUCUCUUCACAAUGAGUUCAUAAAGAUUUGUGGACCCUAUUUUUAAUACCGUGAACAACUUUCCCAAAGACCCAAGUGAUUGGGUUUUAUAAUGAUAUCCAAGCCCUUUACUAUUAUUGACACUCUGAUCAGUUAAAUUAGAAAGAAUUUGUGAGGAUGUGGUCCAUUUUAGUGAUUUGUUAAGUUUUUCCCUUAGACGGACCAGGUCCCUUUCUAAUUCUUCAUUCUUAUAAAGUGCAGUCAUAAGAUUCUUUUGAGAAUCCCUCAACUUUUCUUCAAGCUCAAUUUGAAGCCUUGAAGCUUGUUUUUCCCUUUACCAUCAGAAUCAUUUACUUUUUCUGAUUGACUCAUUAAAUUCAGAUUUUUAGAUUUCAACUUUGUGAACAAUUCUUCUAUUUCAGAUAUCUGAAGAGUUAAAGCAAUCAAUUCAAUCUCUUGAUUUUCUACCUUCUCUUCUAGAGCAUAUUUCUUAGAAGUCAGCUCACACACAGAGUCAAUCAACACAUUUGCAAGUUUAUUUAACUUUUUAGUAGAGUAGUUAUCUAAGUUUUCCUUAAUGUUAGAGAGAGUUAACUCAUUUUCUUCUUCAUCUUCAGUGUUCGCCAUAAGAGAAAAUAAGGAAUCAUAGAUAACCUCACUAUCUUUCACAACUAGCAUCGACACAUCAGCAGUCUUUUCAGCUUCAUCAGAUUCACUAGAGGAAUCUCCCCAGAUAGUUAAGGCCCUAACCCAGACCUGAGACCGCCCACAAUAUCCAACCAUAACCACUCUCUACCCUAUGUCGGAUGAAUUUUGAACAUAUAACAAGAUAGAACAAUUAUAAUUGAAAGGAAUUUAAUAAAGUCCAAAACCAUAACCAUCCAAACAUCCAACCAAGCAUCCAACCGGUGUCAGCCCAAAUACAAAUACCAAUGCCAAGGUUAACACCAAUACCGACACCACGCAUGCCCAUAGUAGUCACACAAAGCCUCUAACAGAAAUCCAAGAACAUCUAGUCAGGACAUGCCCCCAACCAUAGCCAAAAUCAAAGUCCAAGAAAUAAAUAAAAAUAUGGAAAGAGGUUCAUGGCAUAGAAUGGAGUCUUCUGGAGUAUGGAAUCUCACCACUUCAGUCCAACACAGAGUUGUUCCCAAAUCCAAGAUCACUGAGCAGGAAGAGGAGUAUGACCGGUUCCUGCAUCGCGUCGGGAUACAGCACCCAAAGAUGGGUUAGUGGGUGAACACUAGUAUGUACGCAAGAAUAAAGAUAAAAUAAUGCCAUUAUUCAAAUCCAAAGUAAAUAACUAUAUGCAACCACAUACAUGCAUAUAUAUAUAUAUCAUGCCGAGAAAUAAAAUCGGGUUUAGCAUGCAUUUAAAACCUUUAACUUGGGAUUGUGUGGCUCUGCCAUCCUAAAUCUACCCAUGGGCUAUAUGGGUUCAACUCACCCUGCUGAAAAGGCCCCGGUGCAUGUUAGCCAACGAGCCAGAGAAAAACCUGAGAUGACUAGUACAUCCAAAAUACAAGUGUGACAAAAUACACACGAUCACCAAGACCAACCUCACAACGGCAAAUUUGCGCUUCCAGUUUUCAUUCCCUGGGACCACUACCUUCCACGGCUUUGCUAACAAAUUCCCCUUUAAGCCUAUAUUAAAACCAUUCACACACAACCAACCAAUUACCAAGGAGUCUCUUUUUCGGCAUUAACCAUUGGUAUCGUCAUACCAAAACUAGAGCUUGUAAGUCUAUCCAUUUAUGCCAUUCCAAAGCCAUUAAACUAAUUAGAAUCCAAGGUUUCCGUUUAAAAUAAUACCACAGCCACCAAGUCCUUUCCAAUCCAUUUAAAAUCAUUUAAACCAAUUUAGGUUCCAUUACCAUAGUAUGCAAUGCAAAGUUUUCAAUUAUAGUCAAACUAUGUGACAAAAUCAUUCUCAUAGACAUUUUAACAAACAUGUUGAGGGCUUAAGAUUUUUCCAAAACCAAAACCAUAUAUCAAUUGACCAUUCCCAUGCAACCACAUGUUCAAACCAUAAUUAUAACAUGAAAACCAUAAGAAAAACAUGGGAAAACAUUAUCCAACUAAGAACAACCAAAACCCCAACAUAUACUUCAAAAUCCAAAACAAUCCCACAAUAAUGCCAUGAAAAUCAUUCAUUCAAACAUUCUUUUAGUUGAACUAACAAUGAGGAAAGAGUAUCAUUCCUUAGACAACAAGGAAGAUGGAGAGAAACCACCCUUUAGAUCGUUAAAUAAUUGACUUAAAGAAAACCAUAGUUUUUCUUGAACCAAGAUCUUGAGAGAGAUUUGAGAGUGUUUAAAGAGUGUUUGAUUGGGAAUAAUAGGUUAAGGAAGCCUCCAAAGGUGUUUUAUGUCGUGGGGUUCAAAAGGUGUUAAGAGAGGAAAUAUCCAAAAUACCCCCAACUUUAACUAUAAAAAGGACAUAGGAAGGUACGGCUGGACCACUCAACUCGUAUCCACAUCAUAUGAGUGGUACCCUCUAAUCGUAUCUUGAUCAGAAAGUUAGACACCAAAUUCUAUCCAACAUACGACUCCUCAGAAUAACUCAUACCAUCACCAUACAACAAGUACCCUUUAAGUCAUAUCCUAAGAAGAACAUCAAGGCUAGAUAUUGGACAACAUACGGAUGGACACCAUACCCCUCGUAUCAUGAACAUAUGACUCAUCACUACCAACCCAUAACCAAAAUAGAAACUCAACCACCAAACAUUGGACACCCAACGAGUUGGAUCACCUAACCCGUACCUACACCAUACGAUUAAUAUGGUGAGUCGUAUGAUGAACAAAAAGCUUAAGACUCAAGAAAUUUGAAAGGUCCAGAACCCAGGGUGUUUUUAUUCUCCCCCACUUGGAUCAUUCAUCCUCGAAUGAUGAAACAAGGCAGUAUAAGAACAAUUAAACCCCCAAACGUCUCUACUCUUACCUUUCUGACAGAAAACAGAACACCAAGGAAUUCAACUUUUUACCUUUAACAAAGACAAUAAAAAAAGAGGUAAAGAAUCAACACAUACUGACAUACGAAUUUCUGAAGCGAAAAAUAAAAAUGGAUACUUGGUCUUCAUGUCCUCUUCAGCUUCUCAUGUAGCCUCUUCCACCUUGUGGUUCCUCCAUAGAACCAUUACCAAGGCCACAUCCUUGGUCUGCAAUCGAUGAACCUGAUGAUCCAAGAUCUCAACUAGGAUAUCCUCAUAAGAUAAGGAAUCUAAAAUACCAAUAUCUUAAUAGGCACAACCUGUGACGGAUCGCCAAUGUACCUCCACAACAUAGAGAUAUGGAAUACCAGGUGAAUGGAUCUCAAGCUAGAUGGCAACUCCAACUCAUAUCUGAUAUUUCCAACCCUUCUCAAAAUCACAUAAGGACCCACAUAUCAGGGACUAAGCUUCCCCUUUAUCCCAAACUGCAUCACUCCUUUCAUGGGAGACACCUAUAGGAACACUCUAUCUCAAACCUCAAACUCCAAGUCCCUUUGCCUCAUGUUUCCAUAAGACUUUUGAUGACUUUAGGCAGCCUUAAGCCUAUCUCGAUUCACCUUUACCUUCUUCAUAGAUUGGUGAACCAAAUCUAUCCCAAAUAUAUCCACCUCACCAAGCUCAAACCACCCAAUAAGAAACCUACACCUCCUACCAUACAAUACUUCAAAUGGAGCCAUCCUAAUGAUAGAGUGGCAGCUAUUAUUGUCGGCAAACUCUAAAGAGGCAAAUGUUCAACCAACUACCACCAAAGUUGAUCACGCAAACCCGAAGCAAAUCCUCUAACAUUUGAAUAGUCCUUUUUGCUUGUCCAUCUGACUACUGGUGAAAAAUAAAAAUAAGACUCACCUUGGUCCCCAAACCUUUCUAAAAUGACAAGCAAAAUUGAGAUAAAACUACAUACCAAAAUUAUAUAUGAUAGAAAUUGGUACCCCAUGCAACUUCACAAUCUCUUGAAGAUAAAACCUUGCAUUAUCCUCAGUCGAGAAGUUAGUCCUUACUAGUAAAAAGUGAGCUGACCUUGUCAUCCUAUCCAUGAUGACCCAAACUGAAUCAAAUUGAUUUUGAGACUAAGGGAGAUCAGUAACAAAAUCCAUGUUGAUUACUUUCCACUUCCAUUCAGGCAACUUAAUCUCUGACAUAAUCUUUUGGGCCUCAUGUGCUCAACUUUAACUUGUUGGCACACCAUGUACUUGGCCACAAAAUUAGCCAUAUCCCGCUUCAUAUUGUUCCACCAAUACAUCUCCUUGAGGUCAUAAUACAUUUUUGUCAAACCAGGAUAAACAAUAUAGUGCGGCUCAUGCGCCUCAUCCAAAAUCCUCUCUCGUAAACCAUCUACAUCGGGAACACAUAAUUUUCCUUGGUAUCACAAAGUAACAUCACCACUAAUCUUGAAGGCCAUCACUUUUUACCCACCUACAUCACCCUUAAUCCUCAUCAAGAUAGGAUAUAACAUCUACUUUUCCUUGAUUUCAGCACCAAGACACGAUCGUGCUACUUUCUGCACAAACACACUACCACUCUCGGAGUCCAAAAUAUGAACUCUAAGGUUAGCCAAAUGGUGAAUGUCUUUCACUAACUCCCAUUUCACCUUAUACACAUAAGCUAGAAUCCCCAUGGAUAACCUGCUAAGAGAAUAAGCAACCAUGUUAGCUUUACCUGGGUGGUAGUAAAGACUCAUAUAAUAAUCCUUGAGAAGUUCAAGCUAUCUCCUUUGCUUGAGGUUAAGCUCUUUUCUAGUAAACACAUAAUGCAGGCUCUUAUGAUCAGAAAAGAUAGCCACAUGUACUCCAUACAAAUAGUGACGCCAUCUUUCCAAUGCGAACGCACAACUAACAGCUCCAAGUCAUGAGUCAUAUAGUUCUUCUCAUGCACCUUUAACUGUCUAGAGGCAUAAGCUAUCACCUUUCCAUACUACAUCAAAACACAACCAAGCUCCAUAUGGGAUGCAUCAUAGAAGACCACAAACCCAUCAGUACCUUCAAGCAAACUCAAAAUCAGAGCCAAAGUUAGAUAAUCCUUCAACUUCUCAAAACUACCCUUAGAAAUAUCACACCAUAGGAACUUUACCUUCUUCUAAGUCAAUUUAGUUAAUGGGGUAGCUAUAGUCGAAUAACUCUCCACAAACCUCGUGUAGUAACCCGCUAAACCUAAGAAGCUCCAAAUGUCAUUGGAUUUAUGGGUCUAGGCCACUUCCUCACCACUGUAACUUUCUAUUAAUCCACCAUGAUCCCUUCACUAGAAAUGACAUGACCCAAAAAAGUGAUAGCCUUUAACCAGAACACACAUUUUGAGAAUUUGGCAUAUAGUUGAUGCUUCUUCAGGGUCUACAAUACAAUACAGAGGUGAUCGGAAUAAUCCACCUUACUUUUUUAGUACACCAGAAUGUCAUCUAUGAAGACAAUAAAAACAAAUUCAAAAACCAACGGAAUACCCUAUUCAUUAAAUCCAUGAAUGUCGCAGGGGCAUUGGUCAAAUCGAAAGGCAUAACCAAAAACUCAAAGUGCCCAUACCGGGUAUGGAAGGCAGACUUAGGGAUAUCCACCUCCAUAAUCUUUAACUGAUGAUACCCGAAUUAAAGAUCAAUUUUGAAGAAAAACUUAGCACCCUGCAACUGAUCAAGCAAAUUGUUAUCUUGUUCAACUACCGAUAAUCAAUACACAUCCGAAGGGAACCAUUUUUUUUACAUACAAAUAACACUGAUGUACCCCAUGAGGACACACUAGGAUGGAUGAAACCCUUGUCUAAAGAUCAUUGAGUUGAUCCUUAAGCUCCUUCAACUCAGUUGGAGCCAUUCUACAUUGAGGAAUAGAGAUUGGACGAGUGUCCAGAUCAAGAUCACUCCCAAACUCAAUCUCCCUAUCAGGAGGAACACCAGGAAAGUCAUCAAGAAGACCUUAGUAGAUUUAUUCACCACUGGAAUAGAAUUCAAAUAAGGGUCAUCUGAGUUAGAAUCUUUAACCCGAACUAGAUGAUAGAGACACCUCUUGGAGAUUAAUCUCCAAGAUCUAAGAUAAGAUAUGAACUUCCCCUUAGGAGUUAGGGAACCAUCCUCCCACUCCACAACUAUCUCAUUAGGGAAUUUAAAGACAACCUUACGAGUAUCACGGUCUAGAGAUGCAUAGAAAAAGUAAAACUAAUCCAUCCCUAAUGUGACAUCAAAAUCAACUAUAUCUAGUUCAAAUAGAUCUACCAAAGUCUCCCGACCACGCACAGAUACCACAUAAUCCCUAUAGAUUUUGCUAGCUAUCAUAAAGUUACGCACUGGGGUAGAAAUAAAAAAGGACUCAAAAUACACUCUGGACCAAAAGCAAAAUGUACAGCCACAAAUAAGGUCACAUAAGAGAGAGAGGACCUCAAAUCAAGUAAAUAGUACACAUUAUGAAAAAAGAGUUUCAAUAUACCAGUAAUAACAUUAGGCGAUGCCUCAGACUCCUAUCGGGUAGUGAGAGUCAUGACAUUAGGCGAUGCCUCAGACUCUUGUCAGGUAGUGAGAGAAUAAAGACAGUUCCAAACAUUGUCGAAACUAGAUGGUGCACCCUUUGGUGUCGAAGCUAAUGAUGAAGCAACAGGAACCUUGUCUGCCCCCGAAUCAACCGUAGCCACUAAAAAGUUAUUAAUCAUAUGCCCUGGCUGACCACAACUAAAGCACUUAUCCCUUUUUUCCUUAUAAUAACCCUAAUAUAAUCUACCACAGAACCUACAAAGAGGCUAUGAUGGAGCUGACUGGGCCUACUAUCCUAAGAUUGGGCACCUUGUGCCUUAAAGUUAUCGCCACCUUAGAAAUUCCUACCACCAGACAGCUUUGAGUAGGGAGCAUUAGCCUUUGAGUAAGACCCAGAGUUGCCCCACUUCUUCUUGGGCCACUUCUCUUCAUCUCUUUCACUCUGUUGUUGUCCACCACCUUGCUCAGAGAACUUAAAUAUAUUGCCCUGCCUCUUUCUUAUUUUAUCGUUCUUCUUCUCUUCUUCUAGCUACUGCAUGUAAUAACCAUCCUAGAGAUAUCUAUGUCCUUGAUCAACAAGGUAGCCUUAAUCUCCAAUAUCAAAUCUCUGGAAAACUAGAAAGCAAACUUUCUUAUUCUAUCUUUCAUGUUAGAAACCAUCUCGAGAGCAUACCGAGAUAACUGGUGAAACUUUAAGGGAUACUCCUUGACUGACAUUUUGCCUAGCCUCAGAUUGACAAACUCUUCUACUUUUUCUUCCCUCAACUCCUGAGAAAAGAAGCAAUCCAAGAAAGCAUUAGAGAAAUCUUCCCAUAGGGAUGACUUAGCCUCAUCACCCCUUGACUGAUCCCAUUCCUUGUACCACUAGUACACCACAUUUCAACUGGAAGGCAGGAAACUACUGGCCCUCCACAUUUGUGGCAUGCAUAACUCGAGAAAUCUUUUCCAUUUCAUCCAGAAAACCUUAUGAAUCCUCCUCCACCUUAACACUAGUAAAUGUCAGAGGGUUCAACCUUAUGAACUGGCCAACCCUCGUGGCAUCAUAAGAUGGAGUAACAAAUGCACCACGCUCAGCCUGAGAAGCUACCAACUAAGCCAACAUAUGGAUAGACUGACAAAACUUAACAUUCAUCACAUCAUCCUAAGGAGCUCAAGAAAGACAGGAGGGAACUAGUGUAACUCUAGAAUGACAAUCAGGAACUAGACCCCAUAAGUAGAUCAAGUCCCAUUAGCAUUGUCCACGGGUGGGACAAAGGAGUUUCCAUGAGCAUUAAAUAGUUGAGGUGGCAUAAUCUAAAAAGAAAACAAAUAGGAAUUAGAGUAGAAUUAAAGACCUUAGACUCUACAGCUUGAUAACAAAAUAUGAGAAGGAUAAAUAUUCCUAGAUACCUCGUAGCCUCUCCCUUAUGAGUGUGGCAUGCUACCCAGCCUUAAAAUAGACUCUACUUGACAAGACUUUAUGAACUCCCAAGUGACCAUGAACUUAGGUCUCUAAUACCAAUCUGACAAGACCAAAACCAGGACCUAGUCAUGUCGGGCAUCUAAAGUUUGACCCGGACCAGAGACCAACCCCAAUACCCAACUAUAACUAUCCUAUACCCAAUGUCAAAUAAAUUUUAAACAUAUAACUAGAUAGAAUAAUUAUAAUUGAUAGGCAUUUAAUAAAGUCCAUAACCAUAACCAUCCAAACAUCUAACUAAGAAUCCAGUCAGUAUCAGUCUUCAUACCAAUAUCGAUGCCAAGGCAUAUACCAAUACUGACACCGCCAAUUCCCAUAGUAGUCAUACAAAGCCUCUAAUAGAAAUCAAAGAACAUCCUAUCGGGACAUACCCCCAACCAUAGCCAAAAACAAAGUCCAAUAAAUAAACAAGAAUAUGAAAAGAAGUACAUGGCAUGAAAUAGAGUCUUCUGGAGUAUGGAAGCUUACUACUUCAGUCCAACACAAAGUUGUUCCCGAAUCCAAGAUCAUUGAGUAGGAGGAGUAGUAUGGCCGAUUCCUACAUCGCGUGGGGAUACAUUUCCCGAAGAUGGGUUAGCGGAUGAAUGCUAGUAUGUACUCAGGAAUAAGGAUAAAACAAUGCCAUUAUUCAAAAUCUAAGUAAAUAACCCCAUGCAACAAUAUACAUACAUAUAUAUACCAUACCAGGAAAGGGAAUAACUAUAUGCAACCACAUACAUACAUAUAUAUACCAUGUCGGGAAAGAGAACUGGGUUUAGCAUGAAUUUAAGACCUUUAACUUGGGAUUAUUUAGCUCUGUCAUCCUAAAUCCACCCAUGGGCUAUAUGGGUCCAUCCCCUUACUAAAAAAGCACCGGCGCGUAUUAGCCGCAUGAGUUGGAGAAAAAUUUAAGAUGAAUAGUACAUCUCCUAAAUAUAAGUGUGACAUGAUACACACAGUCACCAAGACCAACCUCACAUCAGCAAACAUGAGUUUCCAGUUUUGGUCCCCCUGGGACCACCACAUUUCAUGACUUUGCUAACACAUCCCUCUUUAAGCCCAUAUUAAAACUAUUUACACACAUCCAACCAAUUACCAAGGAGUCCUUUUUAUUAGGCAUUAACCAUUGGUAUCAUCAUAACAAACCCAGAGCUUACAGGUCUAUCCAUUUAUGUCAUACAAAAGACAUUAAACCAAUUUGACUCCAAAGUUUUUGUUCAAACCAAUACCAUGGACCAAGGACUUUCCAAUAAAUUUAAAAUCAUUUAAACCAAUUUAGGUUCCAUUACUAGAUUAUGAAAUGCAAAGUUUUCAAUUAUAGUCAAAUUAUGUAACAAAAUCAUUCUCAUAGGCAUUUUAACAAACAUGUUGAGGGCAUAAGAUUUUUCCAAUACCAAAACCAUAUAUCAAUUGACCAUUCCCAUGCAACCACAUGUUCAAACCACAAUUAUAACAUAAAAACAUAAGAAAACAUGGGAAAACAUUAUCCAACAAAGAACAACCAAAACCCCCCAAUAUAUACUUCAAAACCCAAAACAAUACCACAAUAAUGCUAUGAAAAUCAUUCAUUCAAAUAUUUUUUUGGUUGAGCUAAAAAUGAGAGAGGAGUAACAUGCCUUAAACAACAAGGAAAAUGAAUUUAAAACACCCUUUAGAGCCUUAAUUGAUUAACUUGGAGAAAACCCUAGUCUUUCUUGAACCAAGAUAUUGAGAGAGAUUUUAGAGUGUUUAGAGAGUGUUUGAUUGUGAAUAAUAGGUUAAGGAAACACACAUCCAACCAAUUACCAAGGAGUCCUUUUUAUUAGGCAUUAACCAUUGGUAUCAUCAUAACAAACCCAGAGCUUACAGGUCUAUCCAUUUAUGUCAUACAAAAGACAUUAAACCAAUUUGACUCCAAAGUUUUUGUUCAAACCAAUACCAUGGACCAAGGACUUUCCAAUAAAUUUAAAAUCAUUUAAACCAAUUUAGGUUCCAUUACUAGAUUAUGAAAUGCAAAGUUUUCAAUUAUAGUCAAAUUAUGUAACAAAAUCAUUCUCAUAGGCAUUUUAACAAACAUGUUGAGGGCAUAAGAUUUUUCCAAUACCAAAACCAUAUAUCAAUUGACCAUUCCCAUGCAACCACAUGUUCAAACCACAAUUAUAACAUAAAAACAUAAGAAAACAUGGGAAAACAUUAUCCAACAAAGAACAACCAAAACCCCCCAAUAUAUACUUCAAAACCCAAAACAAUACCACAAUAAUGCUAUGAAAAUCAUUCAUUCAAAUAUUUUUUUGGUUGAGCUAAAAAUGAGAGAGGAGUAACAUGCCUUAAACAACAAGGAAAAUGAAUUUAAAACACCCUUUAGAGCCUUAAUUGAUUAACUUGGAGAAAACCCUAGUCUUUCUUGAACCAAGAUAUUGAGAGAGAUUUUAGAGUGUUUAGAGAGUGUUUGAUUGUGAAUAAUAGGUUAAGGAAGCCUCCAAAUGUGUUUUAUGUCAUAGGGUUCAAACAGAGUUAUGAGAGAAAAUAUCCAAAAUACCCCCAACUUAAAAUGCAAAAAGGACGCAGGAGGGUACGGUUGAUCCCUCAACUCGUAUCCAUAUCAUACUAGUGGUAUUCUAUAUUCGUAUCUCGAUUAGAAAGUUGGACACCACAUUCUGUCAAACAUACGACUCCUUAGCCUAAAUCAUACAAUCACCAUAUGACAAUUACCCUUUAAGUUAUACCCUAAGUAGAACAUCAAGGCUAGACACUUGACAACAUAUGGAUGGACACCAUACCCCUCGUAUCAUGAACGUAUGACUUAUCACCACCAAUCUAUAACCAUGAUAGAAACUUAACCACUAAAUACUAGACACCCUAUGAGUUAGGUCACCUAACCCGUACCCAUACCAUACGACUAGUAUGGUGAGUUAUAUAAUGAUCAGAAAGCUCAAGACUCAAGAAAUUUGCAAGGGCCAGAACCUAGGGUGUUUCAAAUCAGCUGCAACCUUUCUUCUUUAUUUUAUAGGGACAUGGUCCUUAUUAUUUCCUUUGUCACCUCCAGUCUUGAGAUAUUCCUAAUAAUCCAUUUUGUGCAUUAGUCAAGUCUUUAAUAAAGUGCUCAAGAUUUUUAUGUUUGUGACAAACCUUAAUAGUGCCUCUCUUUUUGUUGUUGCUUCCUCUUUUUUGAAACUGGCCACUUUUAUUCAUAGCUCUAACAAUCCUUUUUGCCAAAUAGGCAACAUUUGUGUCUUCUUCACUUGAAUCAAACUUUGAAGCCUUCAAUGCCAGAGAUUUUCUCUUUUUGCUUCUUUCUUUUGUUGCCCUUGCUACUUCUUGAGUUCAUGAGUCUUCAAAUUACCAAUAAGUUUAUCCAUUGUGAGAGUUUUAACGUUUCUUGCCUCAGUAAUGGCAUCCACUUUGCUAUCCCAAGAUUUUGGAAGAACACCUAUAAUUUUUUUCACCUGUUUAUACAAAGGAAUAACUUCUCCAAAGCAGUGCAAUUCAUUGGUGGUUAAAGUGAAUCUAGUAUGCAUCUCUUAGAUAGUUUCUCCUUCUUUCAUGGUAAAGGUUCCAUACUGAGUAGUUAGCAUAUCAGAUUUUGAAUCCUUCACAUCAAUGGUUACUUCAUGAGUAGUCCUAAAGCAAUUCCAAAUUUCCUUAGCAUUUUCACAAGUAGAUAUCCUAUUAUCUUCAUCAAGUCCUAUGCCAUGGAUAGGGAAUUUCUUUGCCUUGUAAUUCUUCUCAACCUUCUUUUAAUAUUCAUCAUCAAACUCUCUCUUAGGUUUAACAACCAUCCUUGUUAUGUCUCAUUCUUUGACCUCUCUAAUAGGCAUAUGUGGACCAUCAAGUAUUACGUCCAUCAGCUCAUUGUCCUUAGCUAUAAUAAAGUCAUAUAUCCUAGUUUUCCACCACCCAUAGAAAUGUCUAUUAAAAUAGGGUGGUUUAGUGGUAGAUUGCCCUUCUUCUAGAUUAGGUGGAGCAUCCAUGAUCAAUAAAUCACUUUAGGGAUGAACCUUUAAGAGUUUCCUUGCUCUAAUAAAAAUUAUUGAAACGUGGGAGGUUGCACCAUACUAUGAGGGACCAGGUCCCUUAGAGUUAGACACAGUCAAUAAAAUAGUAAAGUAGUAGAAAACUAAAACUUUACUAGAAAUUAAAUAACACAAAUAUUUAACAUAGAAACCUCCUUACUCAAGGGAGGAAAAACUACGCCUUAACCUCACAAGGACUCAACAAUUCACCAUAAUUAAACUAUUGAUUAUAGACUCAAUGGAAACAUAAAUCUAAGCUCUACCAGUUUGUAACAACUCAAUUACAAACCUAUCUUGACAACUCUGCAAGAACUCACCUCAAUAUUGAUUAACUCUAACCAAUAUCAACUCAGGUUACUCUACCUAAGCACUCUCAAGGAUAUAAGAAAAGGACAUUACUCUUAUAACAUGAGUAAUUUAAUUAUAGACGCAAACAUUACUCAAGAACACUCACUGUUUUAGCACACACAAGAACUAUAAACUUAAGCAAUGUUGUAAAGUUGAGUUUUAUCUGAUUUCUCACUUGAACAAUAAGAUUGAAAAAACUAGUGAAUUGGGGAGCAUUCUUUUAUAUUUAUAGCUGGAUAAUGAUUAAGGUAAAAAUAUGAUUGGGAUAGGUGUCUUGAUAGGUACAAGCUCACCUGUAUAGUUUGUUACACUAACAGAUAAAACUGCAUAGGCCAGUAAUAGAUGUAUUGAGUUCAUGAAGACCUAGGGACCUGGUCCCUUGUUGUCAUCUGAUCAUCAUCAAAAUAAGAUAUACCAGGAUUAUUUCUUAUAUAUGUGCUAGGAAACUUUUCUCAAGGAGUUACUAGUCUUACCUCGCUUAUAUUCAUGAUGUUACUGUGGGCUAUUUUUUACCCACACUAGCAGAUCUAGAGUAGAUUGGGCAUACCUCUAAAGCUGAUAGGGCACAUGUCCCCUUUCGGGGGCUUUCUAUCCCCAUUUUGCCUUUCCUUAGCCUCUUUUAAAAUCUCGCGUCCAUUCUAGAUCAUCAUAAUAAUCUAAUUGUCACCUUUUGGAUAGCACCAAGAAGUCUUCAAGUGCCUCUUGACCUAUAAGCAUCCUCUUGUAUGAUCUGAAAAGCCAUUUGGAUUGUAUCAUUUUCUCCUACUUGAAAAAGAUUCAUCCCCGAAUCUACAACUUUCAAUCAUAAGAGGAAAACACAAAAUUAAUAUUUUGUCGAAGCACAAGGGUUAGCAUAAGGGCUAAAUUCAAAACAUCUAUGCUAAGGAGACACCCAUUUAACAUUUAACCAAACAUCCUUUAAAGGUAAUGGAAGAGAAGCCAAUAUUUAAGUUGCAAAGGAGUUGGCUAUGAUAAGCAUCAAUAAAUUCUCUGAAGUUAUCUCCAUUAACAAUGUUACCAAACAAAUCAUCACAUGUUGGAACAACUAAGGUUAGAAUCAAGGAGUCAUUAGGGUGUAGAUUACCCUUCCAUUCACAAAAAAUCAUGUUUACACACAAAACAUUCUUAGCAUUAGCAUAACUAUGCUCACAAACAAAGAAAAUGGAAUGAAUAGAGCUAUGAUUACCUGAGGUAAUACCAAGAACCAGAUUACAUAAAUGUAAGAACAAAUAUCUUAAGCAUCUCACUUGAACAACCCCCAAGAACGAUCCAACUUGUCUAUCCACAAAAGUGUUACAAGAAUCAAGGGUUAAGCAUUCUUUAUCAAGUAGGAACCAUAGACUCUUCUUAGAAUAACAAAUAGACUGACCAUACGGGUUGGGGAUUCCACUUAUUUCAUGCACAUUCAAGUCAUUCCAAAAUAUGGUUAGAAAGAAAUCAACACCAUCUAGGUAGGAUUUUAAGUCAAAUAUCUUUAAAAGAUUAUCUACUUAAGGAUAAAUAUCAUCAUGAGUCCAAGGAAUGUUAGGAAUAAAAUGGGUAGGUACAUACCUUUGGAGAAAAUCCUUGAGCUUGCUCUCUUGUCUUCUAUACUUGCACCAUGUGGCAUUUCCCUCUCAUGCAUCAUCCUGGAAGUUCACACAAGAUUAGAGCCAAAUAUAGGGAAUAACAAUGGCUUGGUUUUGUCACUAAGCUCUCCUUCUUAAUCCCAAAGCUCCUUAUCUUCACCAUUAAUAUCCCUCCUCAUCAUGAGGUUAAGGUUCAUGACCUCUCUUUAUUUGGUCCAAACAUCCUAAUGGGGAACUUUCAUCAUCAAUCCACAAGGUACACUAAAGUCCUCUUUAACUUCCGCUAAUUCCUCUUCACUUACAAGGUAUUCAUCCUCUUGAGGAUUUUACUCACCACCAUCUUCAUGGGUCACCUUAUCCCCAACAAAGUAAAUAUCACCUUCUAACAACACUAUGUUCCUUCGAUUGGGGCAUUCACUUACCUUAUGACCCCAACCUUGACAUUUAAAGCAAACAAUACCUUUAAAAUUGAGAGCAGAAGAUGGAUUACCGUUAUUCGUUGGUGGAUACCUUUGGAUUGCCUUCUCAAUGGGAUUCUUCUCUACAAACUUAUUGGAAUCCUUGAUCUUAUUCCAUCCGGAGGGUGUAGAAGAAUUGUAACUUCUAUUGAAGGACUUCUUUGCAUUAUUGUUCCUUUCAGCCUCAAUGGCUGCUUUAACAAUAUCUUCUAUUCAUUCAAACUUGUGGGCAACUAGUUAAGAAGAAAUAUCAUAAUCUAACCCGCCUUUGAAUCGAUCCACACAAUGAUUUGGGGGUUUGAAAAUCUCAAGACUAAGAAUUAAGUUUUAAAACUCCUCACAAUAGUCUUCCACACCUCUACCUCCUUGCCUCAAUUUAUAGAGCUUUGUUAGUUGAUCUUGUUCAAACCUUUCCAUUACAUACCUCUCUCCCAUGAGUGCCCUCAAUUCAUUCUAAUUCGAGAGGUUGGUAUUAAUCCUUGCACUCUUUAAUUCUCCCACCAAGUUGAAGAAUACCCUUUAAAUUGAGUAAUUACAUGAGAGGCUUUCUUGUGUCCAGUUAACUUAUUAAGUUGGAAAAUCUUAUUGCAUUGUACUUCCUAGUAAAGGUAGACCGAUGGAUCACUAGUUCCUUUGAAGGUAAGAAGAGUGAUCUUGAUUGAGUUAAAACCCAUGUCUCAGCCCAUAUUUCCUUCUUGAUCCCAUUAACGAUCCUCUUAAACUUGGGAAUGGUUUCCCAAGUUUCCUCUUCUAUAUGGAACUGGACCAAAUAUUUCUCCUCGUCCUCUAUGUCCUCCCCCUUGAUCUCAUCUUCUAGUUCAUACAAAUUCCAUAAAGAGAUCCACUUUACCUAACCUUACAUAAGGUUUCUUACUUCCCACAUCAUCUAUUUGGACUGGUUAAUUAUGGUUAGCCAAGAUUUGAGGUGGUUAGUUUUGUAUAAUGGGAUGGUUUUGUGGGUCUUCUUGAUUGACUUGAUUUAAUUAGGGUUGCAGUGGAUGAACGGGUUUUGAUUAUUUAGGUAAAUAGUACCUUGGAGAGGGGGAUCUUGUACUUUCCUCGGGGGAUUGUACAUUUGAUGAAGUAUUUUUGGAGUUAUAGUAGAGGAGGUGUUAUGAGCAUGGCCACUAGAUAAAGAAUAAGGUUUUUGAGGAGUUGAUGUGGUGGAAUCUAAAUGCCCUUCCACAUUAACUAUCCUUCCAUUCAAUCCCGAUAAUUCACUUCGCAUUUCAUUUACAUCUUGUUUCACACUCAUUAUGGCCGCCAUUAUAGCUUCUAUGUUUAUCUUACUCGAAGCUCUUGGGAUAUAUUCUCCCAAUGCCAUACCUAAAUAAAGUAAAUAAUAAAACUAAAACUAAAACAAAAAACAAGUUAAGGAUAGGAAAUCAACCUCACAAGCUCUCAAAGUUCACACAAUCGUGUUGUCUCUCAAUUGGUAUCGAAAGCGUUGAUAGAUCAUUUAUACUCCGAUGAGAAUUCUUUGUACUAAUUUUGGAUUGAGGUUGGAAUGGAUUAUUUUUUGAAAUGACUCAAAAAAAUAUAUACGGACUUGAGUCAAGAAGCUAUGACGAAUUAAAAACUAGAAAAGCUUAAAAGAAAAGAAACGUUGAAAGAAAUGGGACUCAAAAACUAGUCAAUCAACUUAGUAGAUAAAUUAAUUAUUUGUUGAGUAGUUUAUGAAUAAAAAGACUAUAUUAGGAAUCAAUAAAUUGAAACUAAAGAAUUAAAACUUGAACAAAAUGGAAUCCAAAAGCUUUAAAUGUGUUUGGAAGCCUGAUUUACGGUCAAUUGGGGUUGAUCUGCAUUGAGGAGUUCUUGCAGCGGGUGGGGUGCAUCCCCAAUGCACCUUGGAUGUAGAGGUGGACUUAGCUACUUCCUUGAGGUGUAGCCACAGGUCUGGAGCAAACCAGGCGCAACUACAGCGCAGGUCACCCACCCCUCUCUUGAAUGGGUGAUUUUUACCUUCUAGUGGUCCCUUUUUGUACUCUCUCUUGGAAUAUACUUUGGAAUUUUCUUAGAUGCACAAGUAAAAACACUUUUUCACUACUUUUCAUCCUUCUUUUUGUAUCAAACACCCUCUUUUGAUAAAAUUUCAGCUUGAAGAUUUGAAUUUCUCCAAGAACACUAACUUCUUCUCCCCAAGCUCGGAUGAGUUAAAAUUUUGAACGUAAGAACUUUUCAACGUUCUAAACUCAUUCCCAAUAUAGUUUUACCAAUUUUUCCAGAUUUUUCAACCCACUUCACUUUUCUUCAAGUUCAAGCUCUUAACAAUGGUAGCUCACUUAAUAUGACUUCGAUUAAGCUCAAAUUUGAAAACUAGACUCUAAUAGUGUUAGGGAACUCAAAUCUAACACUAGAAACACAAGAAAAACACAUAAUCAAAAACUCAUAAUUUGACCUAAGAAUAAAAUGUGAAUAGUAACUUCUUUUAAAUUUUCAAUUUUGACACUUUUUUUUGUUGAUUUUCAAGAUAACAAACCCAAAAUUGACUUUGCAGGAAUAAAAUCAAGCUCGGAUCUAAUACCAAAUGAUAAUGAAACAAAUGAUGGAAUUGAAACUAAGUAAAGAAAUGAAGAAAACAAAGAUAAAGAUAGAUAGAUAGAUAGAUAAAGCAAUAAGAUAGACACAAGAAGGAAAUGGAUAACAAACAAAGGGUAUAUCAAACCCUUAAUCCUCUAUUGAAUAUCCGAUCAAGCACCUAAAUCUUACAUAGAUCUCAAGGGAAUUAGAUUCCCAAGAAACCCACACUUCUAAACGGAAGAUUAACACAAGUGAUUCUGCGCUUGCCUCGCACUCUCACAAGAGUAUUGUCAUGAUCUAAACCAGGGUCUGUCCAUGACGGGUAUCUCAAUUCCAGUAAAGACAGGAGACAACCCCCUUUGCCUAGCCAAACAGAACAAAACACAUAUAGCAGCGGAUGUAUUUCAAACAUAUAGUAAGAUAGAAUAAAUGUAAUCUCAAAGGAGUCUAAGAAUAUCAACAACAAUACCCAGUUUGCAAUAAUCCACAAAGUCUCUAUGACAAAACCUAAUAGAAUCUAAGUCGAUACAUGCCUUCGACGAUAGCCAAAGAAACCAUAUGAAUAGUUUAUGACAUAAGAGAAUAGAAAAAUAAUGAAAUAAAGCUCUUCCAGAGAAUGGAAGCUCACCACUCCAAGCUAACUCCUGACACCCUAAAAUCCUAUCACUGUGUAGAAAAGUAGAAGUAUUAAUGUUGCCUGCAUCACAUGGGGAUAUAGUAUCUGAUAAUGAUGAGCGGGUUGAGUGCUAGCAUGUAACACAGGGCAAGGAUAAAAUAAUGUCAGUUAAAAGUUAAAUUUCAAACUCACUAUACAUGUUCAUAUGCAUAUGUAUAUAUAGUAGAUGUUGGGGUAGGGAACAAGGUUUAGCAUGAUAGUAAAACAUUAUCUAGGACUAUGUAGCUAAGCUGUCAUAAACAGGCACCCACGGGCUAUAUGGGUUCAGCUUUCCCUGCUAAAAGAGCCCCAGUGUGUGUUAACCGCAUGAACCAGAGGCAUCAAGGAAGACCAAAAAAUGCCCCGAGCCCACGUCAACCUAGAUACAAAAUGUAUCAAUAGUGUGAACCAUACACACGGUCAUCUAGACCAACCCUCAAGUCGGUAAAUGUGAGUUUCCAGUAUAAGUCAUUCAAGACUCACACCUUCACCUCUUAGCUACAUAACACCCAUUAAUCCCAAUUAAAACAACUUUCACAUAACCCAUUCAUUAACCAAGGAAUCAUAUAUUAAGGCACACCAUGGUAUUGUCAUACCUAUUUAGCUUGCAAGCUUAUACUUAUGCCAUUACAAUUCCAUUAACUUGAGGGAAUGCCUCGACACCCUUUGUUCAUUAUAUCAAGUUGGAGGAAUGCCUCAACCUCCUUUAGUUUAUCAAAAUAAAACAUAGCCAACAAGGCUUCAAAAUCUAUUUUUAUUGUUUAAUCAUUUAUGUAAUGCUAUAGUAUAGGUUAGUAAAUCAAACUAAGUGACAAUUCCAUAAUUCAAAGCCAUUUACACAAGUGGGUUCAGGGAAUACAAUUAUUCAAAAUUAAUUUCCAAGUUCAAAACAUCAAUUUGAGGGAUUUUAUCGACCCUCAUUUUAAUUCCCCCGCCCAUGCACCCUAUUAGUUCAAAAACAUCCACUUCAAAGCAUGAACAACUCAUGAAAACCAUGGGAAAAUAAUUCAAGGAUCAACCAUUUCAAAACCAUCAACCCGUGUUAAAACUCACAUUAAAAUCCAUACAAUUAAACCAUUUAAAAUACGUUCUUUUCACAAAAUAAGAUUUGGAGAAGAGUAACAUGCUUGAGAUAUUACGAUUUACGAAAAGAAAUUAACCCUUGGAAGUUCUAGAGACCAAUUUCUUAAAACCCUAGCUUAUUCAUGCCUUAGGGAUUUAAGAGAGUUUAGGAGAGUGUUGAUGACUGGUAGGUAUUGAAAAUAAUGCCCAAAGGUGAUUUAUGGUUGUAGGAUCUAAGUAGGGGAAAAGGGAAAUGACCAGAAUGUCUUUAAUAAAUAGACUAAAAAUUAACCACACAAUCGCUACGGGUCACAUGAUGACUCAUAAUGACUGGAUAUGAGUCAUUUCUUAGACUCAGAGUUUGGUCAGUAUCAUAGGUAUGCACACUGGUCUGACUAUGAUUCGUACCUUAUAACUCAUACUCAGACCUUAUGACUCGUAUGGUCUAGUUGUUGUAUUGGAAGAAACAUUUAGGCAUCCUUACUGGUUAGGCUACGAAAACCGCUAUAUGACUUGUAAUGGGUCUUGACAACUCAUUGGGUGAUAAUCAUGACCAAUACAAAGACUUUUCCAAACACACUGGUCAGGCUACGAUUACAGUCCUACAACUCAUAUGAUAAGUCUUAGUCUGGGCAGUGAGCUCAGAGGUUAAAAAAAUUUUAAGGGCCAAAAUCUGGGGUGUAAGUAUACAUUCAUAAUUUAUCAAAGUCUAACAACUAAAUGGAAGAAAAGACAUAUUUAUAGUCUAGGGUUAAUUAUUACAUCAUAUGGGCCAAAAAAUUAUCCAUUUGGGAAAGACAAAGCAUAGAAGCCCAUUAAGAAUUCCCUUAGGCAAUCCAAGCACACAUGGGAUGCAUCUUCAAGUCAUGUGAGUUAUUUUUGACCCACUCUAGCAGAUCUAGAGUCGGUUGGGCACACCUACAAAGCAGAUGGGGUGCAUUCUCCUUUCGGGGGCUUUCUAGCCUCAUUUUGCCUUUCUUUGGCCUCUUUAAUAUCUCUCGUUCCUCCUCAAUCAUCAUAAUAAUUCAAUUAGCACCUUUUGGAUAGAACCAAUGAGCCUUCAAGUGCCUCUUGAACUAUAAGCCUCUUCUCUAAUAAUCUGGAGGCCAUUUGGAUUGUAUUACAAUACAAGUUAUGGCAUGGAUUUUAUUUCCUGAUCUUUUACCUACUUUUUUUGUGAUGAAUCACUUUUUUCAUUAGAAGAAACUAUGGGAAAAACCAUCCAUCUUGAUAUGUCCACUAUUAACAAGGCCCGACCUAGUUGUGCGAGGGUGAAAGUCCAAAUUGAUUUAGCAACUAAGUUACCUGAUAAAGUGGAGAUAGAAGUGAAUAAAACAAAAGAAGCAAGGAUUCAAUCAGUCAAAACUCGAUAUGAUAUGCUUCCUAAAUAUUGUUUCAAGUGUAAAGUUCAAUGUCAUGAGAAGGUGGAGUAUAGAAUUUUACAUUCAGAAUUGAAAAAUUAUGUGCAAAAAAGACAUAAAUAGGAAGUUAGUUUUUGCUAAAUGGAAUCCUACAAGUCAAAAAUUUCAAAUUGAAAAAGGAACCAACAAAUUUCUAGAUAAUGUUGUAGACAUGAAAAAUGAGGAAAAGGUGUUACAGGCCAAUAAAACAAUCAGUACUAAGAACUCAUUUGGCAUCCUUCAACAACAAGAUGAAGGCAGUUAACUUACUCAAGCUACGGGAACAAUGACCUCAAUGGUGGAGGGAAAGGAAAAUAUGAAGAAGAAGAAAAAUAAUGUAAAAGAAAAGCUGAGUAACAUGCAAAAUAUAGAUCAACAUAAAUCUGUUUAGUAGAAAUAAAAUAGGAAAAAUAUAUAUUCCAUGAGUUAAUAUGGAUAAUCAGGUGGAGGGAUGUAUUACAACUGACAAGGACAACAUCAAUGAGACUAGCAACAAUAGUUGUUCAAUGGGAACUGCAGAACCUAUUCAUGAUAAAUAUAUGAUAUUAAAUGUAGUGGAUCACAAAGAUACUCAACAACUUACAUGUACCAACAAAAAUCUAAGGAAAAGAGGCAGAAGUAUAUUGCUAGAACAGGGGAAUGUAGGUGUAAAUCAAAAUAAAUUACAUAGUAGUGGAAAAUACAUAGAAGACAUUCAUAGAAACAAAGAAAGUCCACAAAUGCAAAAAAAAAAACAUGUUGAUUAUUGAUAGUCACAGUGCAAGAGGAGGUGAUAUUGUGAAUAAUGAUAUACCUGAUGACAUACAUUCAAAUAGGGUUCAAUUAGCCCUUGCUCAAGCUACAUAAAAUGAGGCACUUUAGGUGGAUGAAUCAGGUGUUAGAGGUGAUGAGGGAUUUCUUCCAAAUAGCAUAGAAGGGGAGGCAAGUAAUCUGGCAUUAGCAGCAUUGAAAAAAUCAAACAACAAAAAAUUACAUAAUUUGGUUUCCCACCAAAUAACAAAAGAGGUAAAUCAUGAAAGUACAGAUACAGAUGACAUAUGGAUAAAAGAUACAGAAGAAGGAAAUAAUCAAAAAAAACUAAACCAAGUAAUGAAAGAAGCAGGUUUAUCACCACGUGCAAAUAACAAAGGUAAAAAGAGUAGGAUCAAAGUUGAAAAGCCUACAAGGACCAGUUCUAGGAGGGGUGGUAAAGCCAGCAUUCAAUGAAUUUAAAAGCACUUUUCUGGAACAUCAGAUUAGUUAGGUCACAACAUGUUUUCCACAUAGUACAAAUGUUACAUAGGCAUCAUAUUACUUUUAUUGCUUUGAUGGAGUCUUUUCAAGAUAUCAGACACAUAUAGAGGUAUAAAAGAAUAUUGGGCAUGAAAUAUACAAAUUAUAAUAUGAAUGUAAAGAUAUGGAUUUUUGUUUAAAAAAAUAUACAGGUGGAGACAUUAGCAUAUUCUGAUCAGCAAAUCACAUUUUAGCUAGUUGUUCAGAAUGAUCAAUAGGUGAUUAUUAUAGCUGUUUAUGCUAAAUGUGAUGUAAGUGAAAGAAUUGCUUUAUGGGAUCUAUUUACUCAUUGAGUCAUAAUGUUAGAGUAUCUUGGAUGGUAAGGGGACUUUAAUGUUAUCAUGAAUGAAGAAGAGAAAAUUGGAGGAUUACCAAUGUAUCCUAAUGUAUAUGAACAUUUUGCUUUCUACAUCAACCCCUGUGAUCUAUUUGAUAUUAAUUUAAAAGGGAGUCCAUUCACUUAGUGGAAUGGUAGGGCAGAUGAUCCAUGUAUUUUUAAGAGAUUAGACAUAAUCGUUAUUAACUAAGAGUUUUUGGGCAUUAUGGGGCGUAUUGAGGUUGAACAUCUAUCCAGGACACGAUCAGAUCAUGCUCCUUUGUUAUUCUCUUGUAGUGAUGAAAAUGUUCAGUUUCACAAGCCUUUUAGGUUUUUGAAAUUUUGGACUGAGAAAGAGGACUUCAAAGAAAUGGUAAGAUAGAAUUAGGUAUCAAAAAAAUGUAGGCAUAUCUUUAUCAAUUUAAAGCAAAAAAUGAAGAAAACCAAAAUGGCUCUAGCUUUAUGGAGCAGAUUCAUGUUUGGAGAUAUAUUUAAAUAAUUAGUCAUCAAGAAAUACAUAGUAAGAAUCAAAAAUGAUUUGUUUGAAGAAAGUCCUACUACUACUAACAAAAUAAUUUUUCAGAAGGCACAGGCUGAGUUGAGGUAGUGUUUACAUUAUGAAGAAGAGUAUUGGAGAUAAAAAUCUGGUAUUCAAUGAUUUUCAGAAGAGAAGGAAAUAUGAAAUUCUUUCUGGUGAAUGCUAGAAGGAAAAAGCUAGAAAUAACUAGAAUUUAGAGAGUUGAUGGUUCUUGGGUUGAAGAUAAUAAUUAGGUAGCUGUAGAAAUAAUUGAUUUCUACCAGAAAUAAUUCACUGGAUCAGUUGAGUCUGGUGCAUAUUCUUUUAUUAAUUUGAUUUCUACCCUAAUCACAAAAUAAGAGAAUAAUUUGUUGAAGGUUUGUCCUGACACUGAAGAAGUUAAAAAGGUAGUUUCUAAACUGAAUGGGGAUAACGCUUGUGAGCCAGAUGGUUUCACUGGACAUUUUCAUCAGUUUUGAUGGGACAUUGUUAGUGGUAAUAUUGUGAAGGUAGUUCAUGUAUUUUUUAUGUAAUGACACUGCCUAAAUCUAUCACUCAUACUAAUUUGGUUCUAUUGCCAAAUAAAGAGAAGGUCAAGAGAGAAGGUCUUGACCUUCUUUGACUUAAGACCUAUUAGUUUGAGUAAUUUUCCAAACAAAAUCAUAUUUAGAAUUCUUCAUGAUAAAUUAUAAGGUUUCUUACCUAGGCUCUCUCAAAAUCAAUCUGAUUUUGUUAAGGGAAAAAUUAUCACAGAUAAUGUAUUAUUGGCCAAGAAAAUUAUAUGCGAUAUUAAAAAAGGGAGUAAGGCUGCAAAUAUGGUAAUUAAGCUUGAUAUGACCAAAGUCUACGAUAGAGUGGAGUGAAAUUUUUUUAUGGAAAUGUUGGAGAAAAUGGGCUUCUCAAAUGUCUUUACUGAUAUGAUAUGGAGACUAGUAGCCAAAAAUUGGUACUCUAUCCUAAUAAAUAGGGAAGUUCAUGUCUUCUUCCAUUCUUCUAGAAGAGUAACGCAAUGGGGUCCUUUAUCCCCUUCUUUAUUUAUUAUUAUUGCUGAAGUUAUAACAGGGCACUUAAUAAUUUAUUCUCAUAUGAUGAUUUCAGGAGUUAUGGACUGACUAAAUAGAGUGAUCAAAUAAAUCAUCUUGCUUAUAUUGAUAAUACAAUAAUAUUUUUUUUGCUGACAGGUUUUCAUUGUAAUUAAUUAUGCAGAUCUUAAGAGAAUAUGAAAACCAAUCGUGUCAACAGGGAAAAGAGUGCCUUUUAUGUACAUAACAAGGUUACUCAUGCACAUGUUUAAUUGGUGGAGCAUUGUACUGGCUUUUCCAAGAGGUAAAUUUCCAUUGACAUAUCUGGUUGUGCUAUUGGACAUGCUAGGAAAAGAAAGAUUAAUUUUUUAGAGCUAUUAAAGAAGGUACAAAAUAAACUUCAGUUAUGGAAAGGCAAACUAUUAUCAUUUGGAGGUAAAGUUGUGUUGAUUAAUAAUGAUUUGCAGAGUAUCCUCAUUUAUCAAUUAUUCGAUCUUAUACCUCCAAAAUGUGUGAUUCAUGAUCUUUAUAGAUUUUUUGCUAAAUUUCUAUGGAACUUUAGAAAAAGAGGGAGGAGUAAACACUAGGUCUCUUGGACUAAUAUAUGUCUACCAAAAAAGGAAAGUGGUAUUGAUUUUAGAUCUUUUUUUUAUGUGUCUAAAUCCUUAUUUUCAAAGCUAUGGUGGUAUUUUAGAAUACAAAAAAAUAAUGUGGACUAAUUUUAUGAGAACAAGUACUGUAAAAGGCAUAGACCACAAGUAGUUGAAUGGAAAGGUGGUUCUCAAGUUUGGAAGUUUAUGUUACAGGCUCGAGAUUAUUUUGACCAAGAAAUAUGGUGGAAAUAUAAGUGUGGACAUGUUAGUAUUUGGUCAGAUAAUUGGACUCAAAAGGGAGCUUUACACUAUUAUCUCCCAUUAAACUAUAAUAAUAAUGGAUGAUUGGAAGAUGUGCAUCAAUUAAUGAAUCAUGAUGGGUGGAAUAGGGAUCUACUUAAGGAAAUUUUUUCUGAAGAUAGAUGCAAUCAUGUACUUAAUAAGAUUGGGACAAUAGGAUAUUUUAAUGCUUGGGAUAAUCCAUGGUGGAUGCCACAAGGUUCUAGAAAAUUUACAAUUAAAAGUGGUUGGACUAUCAUAAGACAGUCUGGGAAUGUCAAUGAGGAUUUAAGGUUUAUAUGGGAAAAGGGUAUACCUUUCAAAGUAUCUUUCUUCUUCUUGAGUUAUGAAAGAAAAUAUUACCUACAGGUGACUUUCUAGUCAGUACAUGAUGGGAAGAAAUGACUAAUUGUGUUUGUUGUGAGUUACCAGUUCAUGAAUCCUAUGAACAUCUCUUUGUUCAGUGUUCUGCAGCUAAUAAUUUGUGGAUAGUUUUUGCAUCAAUAUUGAAGUGUAGGGCCCUUUUCUUCAUUUAAAAUAUGUUAUCUACAAGUGGUGGAAUGCUAAUUAUUGUGCUAAACUUAGGCCCCUAUUUAUUGUUAUUCCUGUUUUCAUACUGUGGAAAAUAUGGAAAGAAGAAACAUCAUCAAACAUGAAGGUAGGAUGUCAAUUCAUGGCAUACAAUAGGAAAUAAAUUGGAAUCUGUAUUUGUUUGCUAAGAUAAGAUAUCCUUGGCUUAAUAAUAUCCCUAGUAACUGGCCUAUGAUGGUUAUGUUCUUGGAAGUUUAUAAACCUAAUAUCCAGGCUACUGUGGUCAAGUGGAAGCCUCCUAUCAAUGGUUUUUAUAAGUGCAAUAUUGAUGGUGCCUCUAAAGAUAACCCUUGUCCUAGUGGUGGUGCUUUCUGUAUUAGAGACAGUAAAGGGAAAUUUAUUUUUGCUAAGUCAUUCUCUUUUGAUAUCUUAACUAACUUAGAGAAAGAAUUUGUUUCCUUUAAGAAGGGUUUAGAGUAACGUGUGAGUCAAAAGUUGUUAACAGUUACUAUGAAAUAGAUUCUCUCAUUCUUAAGAAAAUCCUAGAUGGAAUCUGGGAGAUUUCCUGGAAGGUUUCUAUAUAUAUCAAAAGAAUUCAAUGGUUGAAGAGGCAAUGUCAGGUGGAGGUGUUGCAUACGCUAAGGGAAGGGAACAAACUGGUGAAUUUUUUAGCUAAUGAAGUUUUCUUUUUAGCAGGUACGCAAAAUAUAAUACACAUUGCUACAGGAUAUUGCAGAUGAAGGAAAAAUAAUUAUAAAAAUGGACAAGCAUUAAAUCCCAUCACUGAAGUUUGUCAAAUAACAUUUUUUUCUAUAUAAAAGGCAGUCAUAUUAAAUAACAUACCAGAUCUGAGAUAGCAAAUAACAAGAAAUGCAAAGGUCAAGGCACAUACAGAGGGGGAAUUGAUCCAAAUAGAGGUACAUAUAGCUAUAUUAACAUUGAUUGUCGAGCAAUAAAGUACAAGUACAUAUGUACAUUUUAGACUAGUGCAUGCGACAUGGGUAAAAUACUAAGCUUCAGAAAAGAGGGUUUUGUACCUUUUUCAUGCUUACUCAAAUCAUCUAAGUUAAUGUCCUUUGUCAGUGGUAUCAGCUUCUUGUUGAGCUCAAC
rnacentral:lncRNA from 1 species